ACUCCUACGGGAGGCAGCAGUGGGGAAUAUUGCACAAUGGGGGGAAACCCUGAUGCAGCCAUGCCGCGUGUGUGAAGAAGGCCUUCGGGUUGUAAAGCACUUUCAGUAGGGAGGAAGGUAGUGUAGUUAACACCUGCACUAUUUGACGUUACCUACAGAAGAAGCACCGGCUAACUCCGUGCCAGCAGCCGCGGUAAUACGGAGGGUGCGAGCGUUAAUCGGAAUUACUGGGCGUAAAGCGCAUGCAGGCGGCCUGUUAAGUCAGAUGUGAAAGCCCGGGGCUUAACCUCGGAAUUGCAUUUGAAACUGGCAGGCUAGAGUCUUGUAGAGGGGGGUAGAAUUUCAGGUGUAGCGGUGAAAUGCGUAGAGAUCUGAAGGAAUACCAGUGGCGAAGGCGGCCCCCUGGACAAAGACUGACGCUCAGAUGCGAAAGCGUGGGGAGCAAACAGGAUUAGAUACCCUGGUAGGAUAGCG
rnacentral:rRNA from 1 species